rnacentral:rRNA from 1 species
AGCGAACGCUGGCGGCAGGCCUAACACAUGCAAGUCGAACGAAGUCUUCGGACUUAGUGGCGGACGGGUGAGUAACACGUGGGAACGUACCUUUUGGUUCGGAACAACUCAGGGAAACUUGGGCUAAUACCGGAUGAGCCCUUAGGGGGAAAGAUUUAUCGCCGAAAGAGCGGCCCGCGUUAGAUUAGCUAGUUGGUGAGGUAAAGGCUCACCAAGGCUACGAUCUAUAGCUGGUCUGAGAGGAUGAUCAGCCACACUGGGACUGAGACACGGCCCAGACUCCUACGGGAGGCAGCAGUGGGGAAUCUUGCGCAAUGGGCGAAAGCCUGACGCAGCAACGCCGCGUGGGGGAUGAAGGCUCUCGGGUUGUAAACCCCUUUCAGCAGGGACGAAUCAAGACGGUACCUGCAGAAGAAGCCCCGGCUAACUACGUGCCAGCAGCCGCAGUAACAC